rnacentral:rRNA from 1 species
AGCAAUGGGGAAUUUUGGANAAUGGGGGAAACCCUGAUCCAGCAAUGCCGCGUGUGCGAAGAAGGCCUUCGGGUUGUAAAGCACUUUUGGCAGGAACGAAACGGCGCCGGAUAAUACCUGGUGUCACUGACGGUACCUGCAGAAUAAGCACCGGCUAACUACGUGCCAGCAGCCGCGGUAAUACGUAGGGUGCAAGCGUUAUCGGAUUCUGGGCGUAAAGCGUGCGCAGGCGGUUCGGAAAGAAAGAUGUGAAAUCCCAGGGCUCAACCUUGGAACUGCAUUUUUAACUCCCGAACUAGAGUAUGUCAGAGGGGGGUGGAAUUCCACGUGUAGCAGUGAAAUGCGUAGAUAUGUGGAGGAACACCGAUGGCGAAGGCAGCCCCCUGGGAUAAUACUGACGCUCAUGCACGAAAGCGUGGGGAGCAAACAGGAUUAGAUACCCUGGUAGUCCACGCCCUAAACGAUGUCAACUAGCUGUCGGGGUUUUUGGACUUUGUAGGGCAGUAACGCGUGAAGUUGACCCCCUGGGGAGUACCGUCGCAAGAUUAAAAUCAAAGGAAUUGACGGGGACCCCCCCAAGCGUGGAUGAUGUGGAUUAAUUCGAUGCAACGGGAAAAACCUUACCUACCCUUGACAUGUCUGAAAUUCCCGAAGAGAUUUGGGAGUGCUCGAAAGAGAAUCGGAACACAGGUGCUGCAUGGCCGUCGUCAGCUCGUGUCGUGAGAUGUUGGGUUAAGUCCCGCAACGAGCGCAACCCUUGUCAUUAGUUGCUACGAAAGGGCACUCUAAUGAGACUGCCGGUGACAAACCGGAGGAAGGUGGGGAUGACGUCAGGUCCUCAUGGCCCUUAUGGGUAGGGCUUCACACGUCAUACAAUGGUCGGGACAGAGGGCAGCCAACCCGCGAGGGGGAGCCAAUCCCAGAAACCCGAUCGUAGUCCGGAUUGCAGUCUGCAACUCGACUGCAUGAAGUCGGAAUCGCUAGUAAUUCGCGGAUUCAGCAUGCCGCGGGAAUA